AGAGUUUGAUCAUGGCUCAGAUUGAACGCUGGCGGCAGGCUUAACACAUGCAAGUCGAACGAUGAUUAUCUAGCUUGCUAGAUAUGAUUAGUGGCGGACGGGUGAGUAACAUUUAGGAAUCUGCCUAGUAGUGGGGGAUAGCUCGGGGAAACUCGAAUUAAUACCGCAUACGACCUACGGGUGAAAGGGGGCGCAAGCUCUUGCUAUUAGAUGAGCCUAAAUCAGAUUAGCUAGUUGGUGGGGGUAAAGGCCCACCAAGGCGACGAUCUGUAACUGGUCUGAGAGGAUGAUCAGUCACACCGGAACUGAGACACGGUCCGGACUCCUACGGGAGGCAGCAGUGGGGAAUAUUGGACAAUGGGGGCAACCCUGAUCCAGCCAUGCCGCGUGUGUGAAGAAGGCCUUUUGGUUGUAAAGCACUUUAAGCAGGGAGGAGAGGCUAAUGGUUAAUA
rnacentral:rRNA from 1 species